UACGUAGGGUCCGAGCGUUGUCCGGAAUUAUUGGGCGUAAAGAGCUCGUAGGUGGUUUGUCGCGUUGUCCGUGAAAACUCACAACUCAAUUGUGGGCGUGCGGGCGAUACGGGCAGACUGGAGUACUGCAGGGGAGACUGGAAUUCCUGGUGUAGCGGUGGAAUGCGCAGAUAUCAGGAGGAACACCGGUGGCGAAGGCGGGUCUCUGGGCAGUAACUGACGCUGGAGGAGCGAAAGCGUGGGGAGCGAACAGG
rnacentral:rRNA from 1 species